CCUACGGGCGGCAGCAGUGAGGAAUAUUGGUCAAUGGCCGGAAGGCUGAACCAGCCAUGCUGCGUGAAGGUCAGUGCCCUAUGGGCGUUAAACUUCUUUUGUGCGGGAGCAAUAAUGGUCACGUGUGGCCAGACGAGAGUACCGUACGAAUAAGCAUCGGCUAACUCCGUGCCAGCAGCCGCGGUAAUACGGGGGAUGCAAGCGUUAUCCGGAUUUAUUGGGUGUAAAGGGUGCGUACGCGGUGAGGUCAGUCAGCGGUGAAAUGCCCCCGCUCAACGGGGUGAAGUGCCAUUGAUCCUGCCGUGCUGGAAUGCGCAUGCCGUGGGAGGAAUGUGUGGUGUAGCGGUGAAAUGCAUAGAUAUCACACAGAACACCGAUUGCGAAGGCAGCUCACGAAUCCGCGAUUGACGCUGAUGCACGAAAGCGUGGGUAUCAAACAGGAUUAGAUACCCUUGUAGUC
rnacentral:rRNA from 1 species